rnacentral:lncRNA from 12 species
GGGGGGGGGGGGGGGGGGGGGGGGGGGGGGGGGGGGGGGGGGGGGGGCUGGCGCGGCGGCGGGCGGGGAGCGGCGCUGGGCGGCCAUGACGGAACCUGCGCUGCCGCCGCCGUGAGGGCGCGGGGGGGGCACGGCGCGCCCCGGCCGCCUCAUGGAGGCGCAGGAAGAGGCGCGGAGGCGCAAGCUGGAGGCCGGCAGGGCUAAGUUUGCUUGCUUCAGACAGCGAAAAGCAAAGGGCGACGUCGCGCAGCCGCAGAAAAAGGCGGCGAAGAGGAAGGGCUCGGCUGUCCACACGCAUGACCUCCCGAAGGAAGAGCACCCAGUAGCAGCCAGAGCUGCUGGCAAGGGCCUGCAGGGUCAGCCUGAAGACACCAACCUCCCAGAGGCACAGGGCAGCACUGAUUUGUCUAGCUGGGAGCCACUGGAUGAUCAUGCAACUGAAAAAGAUAGGAUAAAUUCUGCUGCAGAAUACAGCGAGGCUGAUGCUCAGAUGUGCCAGGUGAGGAUAGCUGAGCUGGAGAGCAGACUGCUGGAGAAACAGGGAGCAGUGGAAAGACUCACUGUACAGAUGGAUGAGCUGCAGGACCAACUCACCCAGCACAACAAUUCUAUGCAGCUUCAGGAAAUGACAGUUCAAGAGCAGAAUGAGAUCAUCAGGAGGUUAACAGCCUGCCUUCAACAGGCCAGGAAAGACCGGGAUGAGCUACAGGAGGAGGCUUCACGUGUGGCCGGUCAGAUCCAUGAUUUGCAGCUCCAGUUACAUCAGGUUACUGAGAUGCUGAGGAGCAAAAGUCUCAGGAAGAAUGAAGGAUUAGAAGCCCAGCAGCAAAUGUGCUUGUUUCAGGAUCACCUCAGAGAGCAAAAUGCACAUUUGCAGAUGCUGCGUGAGAAAGCACAUGAUCUAGAGGUACAGCUGGAGUCUUCUCAAAAGAAUACCAAAGAUAAAGAAAAUCUGCUUGCCCAAAUGGAAGAGGAUAUGAGAGAUGCAAUACAAGACCUGCACAAAAGUGUAGAUGAAAAAGAACAAUUUAUUAAAAGGCUUCAAGAUCUACUGACAUCAGAAAGAUCUGGCUUGUCUAUACUGCAGCACACACUUUCUCUCCGGGACUCAGAAAUAACAGAAUUAAAAAAAGAAAUGGCUUUAUCCAAAGUGAAAGAACAGCAACAUAUUGAAGAACUGAAAAUCAGUCAUGAGAAGGAUAUUUGCAGACGGUUGGAUGACUUGAGGAAUGAGCUGGAGAAGUGCUACAGAAGAGAGAUUGCAGAAGCCAAGCAGGUUUAUGAGGAAGAAAUUAUUUUAAAAUAUAAAAAUGAACUUGAACAGUUAAAGAAAGAGCUCUGUGCUUUGAAUUCUAAAGAACACAUUCAGAAUUUGAAUGGCAUAAUAAUUGACUUAAAUAUAAGGCUUCAAGAAUCUGAAAUUAGUAAAGAAAAUCUGAGGAAAAAACUUGAAAACCAACGGGAAGACUUUCAGAGGGAAAAAUCUGAAAUAGAAACUAAAUACAAGGAUUUAAUUGAUGGCUUUAAGUGUCAACUUUCUUAUGCAGAAGAGCAAGUGAAGGAAGCCCAGAGAUACAAAAAAGAAAAGCAGUCCUUGAAUGAAGAGAUUCAGAGGCUGAACUCCUACAUCCAGGAAUUAAAUGCAAGGCAGCUUUAUGAGGCUGAAAAAAAUACAGAUGUAAGGCAAAAGCAUGAUGGAGAGAUUGUCUCCAACACAACGUUAGUGGAAUUGAGGGAAGAGCAGAUUUUAUCAGGGAUGUCUCAGUUGCAGGGAGUGGGUCUUGAGGAGGUGUGGGACAGAGCACACCAGUCAGAAGGUAGAGAUGAGCCAGUGCUUGGAGAGCUGGAGUUCCAGCCUGACUCCUCCAGGGAUCAGUUAGAGGAAACAAAGAAUUCAGAGGUCACAAGGGAUAAUGGAAUUGGUGAAGGGGAGAACCUGUCUGAAGAACCCUUGUCAGAACUGGGGCUUUUCAGUGGUGAUGAAGGCAUAUUGGCUAAAUACCUCAUUUGCACAGAAACCCCAGAGGACUCCUGUGUGUCCAGCACUUCAGAAGGCCAUGCCAUUGAGGAGGGCAGAUGCAGCACAGAUGGGUUAGACCACAGCGUGCUCCUAGAACCCAGCAGGGAUUUUAUAUCUUCUCCAUUAAACUCCAGCCUUGGUGAGGGGCUGUGUCUCAGUGCCUUGGCUCAAGAUGUUUUUGAAGAGGCAGAGGUGGGAGCAGAGACCUUUGUUUCAUGUGUGUCAGAUGGCUCCCUGCAGCAAAACAAAAUUGGACACCACGAGGACACACAGGAUGGUGAGAUGUGGCAGAGGUGGGAGCAGAGACCUUUGUUUCAUGUGUGUCAGAUGGCUCCCUGA